UUGGUGGCUGGGGAGGCUCAUUAUUAUCACUUGGAGGCUGAGGAGGUUCAUUGCUGUCACUAGGUGGCUGUGAAGGCUCAUUGUUGUCACUUGGUGGCUGGGGAGACUCAUUAUUAUCACUUGGAGGCUGAGGAGGUUCAUUGCUGUCACUAGGUGGCUGUGAAGGCUCAUUGUUUUCGCUUGGUGGUUGGGGAAGUUGAUUGUCACUUGGUGGUUGCGGAGGGUUAUUACUGUCGCUUGGCGGUUGAGGAGGGUUAUUACUGUCGCUUGGAGGCUGGGAAGGCUUAUUGCUGUCACUUGGUGGCUGGGGAGGCUCAUUAUUAUCACUUGGAGGCUGAGGAGGUUCAUUGCUGUCACUAGGUGGCUGUGAAGGCUCAUUGUUGUCACUUGGUGGUUGGGGAAGUUUAUUGCUGUCAAUUGGUGGCUGCUGAGGUUUAUUAAUAUCGCUUGGAGGUUGGGGAGGCAUAUUGCUAUCACUUGGUGGCUGAGGAGGCUUAUUGUUGUCGUUUGGAGGCUGAGAAGGCUUAUUGGUGUCACUUGGAGGUUGGGGGGGCUUAUUGCUGUCAUUUGGUGGCUGGGGAGGCUUAUUGGUGUCACUUGGAGGUUGGGGAGGCUUAUUGCCGUCAUUUGGUGGCAGGGGAGGCUUACUGGUAUCACUUGGAGGCUGGGGAGGUUUAUUGAUAUCAGUUGGUGGCUGGGGAGGUUUAUUGAUGUCACUUGGAGGUGAGUUGUCAUGAUUAGACGGAGGGCAUGGGCAUGGACAUGUACAUUGGCGCUUGUUGUUAUCAUCAGUGGGGGGAGCAGGAUCGGGCUGGCUCCCAUCUUGAGCAGAGGAAUGAGGGAAUGUUAAGAAGACGAUUACGAGUGUAAUGUGGAUGAACAGAUGCUUUGAACUCAUCUUUACGAGUGUACUUUUUUUUUUGUCCCCGGUUUCUGUUUGUGUUUGUGUUGUGUGGUGCGGUGUAUCUAGAGAUGAAUUUAUAGUCGGGAGGAAUUGUCACCAAUGAAGCCCCUUCGUUGUAGGAAAGCAUGGGUCCUUAUUGCUUGAUAUUUCUUUGGUCUGAGAGUUUAGCACUUCGUUCCUUGACCAUGCAAUUAACAUUUGGUGAAUAGUUGCUUGAUUUUGGGCCAUAUUACACGUUUGCGUUUGGUAUUAUCUGUGAUAUGGUAAAGCUUCAAAAUAUUCCAAGUUUAUACUCAUUAAUAAUUUCUAUUGCUUCGUUGAUAUAAAAUGGUUAAAUAGAACUUUGCUAAUGUAUUUCUACUUGGGUCAUUUCUUCUCUUCUCCAAACCUUAAACUUGUGAU
rnacentral:lncRNA from 1 species